GGCAAUUAAGUAAUUUUAAGCAGAGCAUGUUCAUAUGAAAGCUACAUUUUUAUUUUAAUUUUUCCUAUUCAGUUUUAAUGCGAAGCAUGUUCGUGUGAAAGCAAGCAAUUUCUCUGAGUACUGAAGAUGAAGAGCUUAAGAAACGUGUCCUAGGGAAUGAAAAUUAUCAAGUCUUGGAGACUUCAAUGGAAAUUGAGGAAGAACAAUCCCUAGAGCCAAUAUUCGAGAUUGAAAUUUUAUCUAAUUCCUUAAUUACAAUUGAUUUUGUUUGUCUAGGUAUUUUUGUAGAUCCAAAGAACAAUGCGAAGUUGCCCACUUCAAUUUUGCAUAAUUCACCAU
rnacentral:misc_RNA from 1 species